UUGGAACAGGCUCCCCAGGGAAGUGGUCACAACACCAAGCCUGACAGAGUUCAAGAAGCAUUUGGAGAAUCCUCUCAGGCACAAGAGCAGAAACUUUCAAAAAGAAGUUUAGCCCUCAUGACUGCAAAGAUUGUUUUCUAACGCACUUGAGAUACUAGCAAGUAUUAAAGAUGGUAUCUCACACCAAGCACUUGGCCUUUUCUCCAUUAUUUGAAACACCUGUGCUCUGCUUCCCACCACUGAGAGGGUAGGAAGGAACUGCAGUCUCCUGGUUGCCAGAAUAUGCUUUCAUCUAUGUUGACCCCAAAUCAAAAAGAUACCUCUCAUAUUUUUCCCUUUCCUUCAUCAUGUGAUGCCUCUUCAAACAGCAGUUGUUGAAGCUAGACAGAAAGGACCUGCCUCUGGAAGUUCAGAGCACAUAAUCCUUUGAUGGGCCUCAUUCAGAUCUGAGAUCAAAGUUUCAAAUGCACUAAGAACUUCUGGGCAGCUUUCUAGUAUUUAUUUUCUUAAAAGAUGGAUUCAACAUUCCACAUGCCAUGCCUCUGCUGGUAUUUCUACCCUAGCCUAACAAUGCAGGGAUUUCUGAAGAAACUUCUCACAGUAUUUCAACAUAAUUUCUUUUACAUUUGAUCAAGUUGGAAAAAAAAAAUCUCUGUGGCUGUCCUUAUGACUCCUAAAACCAAAAUUGCUUGUGUUGAAGAUAAGGAUGACACCAACUGCAGGAAAAAAUGUCAGGAAGGAAUUAGCCCCUUGGAUUUCAAAGUAAAUACUGACAUGAUUACAGAUUAGGCAUGAUUAAGGACACUGCUAAAUUGGUACCUUAGAAAGAGAGUUAAAUAUGACAUCUUCUAGCACUGUAACACCAAAUUUUAAGCCUCUUGCCCUGACAGUGCACUCUGUAGCUUUACAUGUCUGACUUCUCUAGAGACUACAAGGGCAGAGUCACACUUGAUGACAGACAGAAUACAGAAUGACAAAGACAAUAGCUACCUAUAGGAAUGAUGAAGAAUGACUGUGGUUUAUACCUGAUCACUCUUGAGAUCUCUGGUGCUUCC